GUUUCGAUGGCUCAUAAGGAGCAAGGGGGAUGAGCCUAUCGCACCGCGUGUUCGGUUCGGAAUC
rnacentral:tRNA from 1 species